GGCGCUGGGCGCGGCGGGGAAGGGACUCGGCACUGGGGAAACCCGGAGUUUCAGCCAGGGUCCCAGGGCUUCCUUCCCGGGUUCCUGCCGGAAAACUUUUCUCCUCCGCCCGGAAGCCUCGAUGGGGCAGUGAGAUCGCGGGGCGAGCCUGUCCUGCUCUGGCCUGCCCUGUGCUCAGGAAGCUGGCGGUCCCCCUCAGUGGAUCUUCACCCACAGGGACAACCUGCUGCAGACCGGGAACAUAAAGAGGAAAUGCUCCUUUUUCCCUGGUGAAUGUUGCAUUCCCUGUCUGGAUGCAAUGCCUGGUGCUCCGCAGCCCUUUGCACUUAUAAGAGAAGGUGGCCGGAAGAGCAUCUUCACCCUGGGGUGGCCGCCUGGGAAGAUGAGAAGAGCAGGAGUCCUUGGUGGCACAACCAGGCAAUUCACCAAAAUCCUGCUGCCCUCACCUGGAAUUUCCUGCUAUGAGAGACGUCUCCGUUUAAACCACAUGAGCUGGAUUUUCUGUUUCUAACACAUGUCAGCAUCUUCACGGUAAAUCUAAGAAAAAAAAAUCAGGGCUAUUAAAAAACAAAGUCCAAC
rnacentral:lncRNA from 1 species